CAGCGAGCCCCACAAGUGAAUCAUAAACACUUGCAUUCUGCAGAUGACUCUUCCACUGGGACGGGAUCAGAUCUACCCCUAAUGGAUGUAUUUGCUGUGCAGAAAAUGAGACCUGGUGUCCUGAGAAUGUGCCAUAGCAUAUCAGGCUGAUAUCAGCUCAGUUGGAGAGUGGAAUGGUUCCAAAUUACCACAAUUUUGAGAUGAAAGUGCUGACAGCACAAGACAGAGAUCAGGAAGUGGUUAAGCUCCACCACACAGGACAACAUAAGGUCCAAGUUCUGGAAGAGCUUCUGUCAGAGCUAUAUCUAUUUUCAACAGUAGAUUAUC